UACAGCAAGAGCCGCCCCUCCUGCCAGCAGCGUAGAUGCCAGCAGCCAGCCAUACCCACGCUUCUGGGAGCCGCUCUGGCAGCCGCAGGGCCGAUGGCAGCGCACAGGAUACAGGUCAGGAACAGUCACAGCCGGACACAUGACUCGGGGGCGGAGCUACACGGGACUCGGGGGUGGAGCUACACGGAACUCAGGGCAGGCUGCUGCUCACAUGCUGUGAGAGGGGAGAGGAGAAGCUGCUGCACAUCAUCCGGGGACGGCCCAGCCUGUGAGACUGCACUCUGCUGUAGUGUGUAAGUUAGAGUCAACAGAGGAAGGAGAGAGAGAGAGAGAGAGAGAGAGAGAGAAUCACACUCCCUAUCUGAGGUAGCCUCUGGACUCUGCAAUGACAAACUGCUUUUUUGCUGGUGUCUGAGAAUGAAGAAUAUGAGGAGGGACAAGUGAAUGAGCAGACUGUGGCUGGCUGCUACCAAGAUGAUUUACAGUUUCUAUGACAAUGCACUAAUUUGCAAGCCUGUCCCUACGCAGCCGGAUGACAUCAUACACCAAUGCACCGGUCCGUCCAUGUGAGCGAAACAAUGGCAGUGGCGGACCAUUGGUUGCCAUGGUCCCCAGAGCCAGAUGAGUGACGUCACUACCGGCGCGACGGGGGAGCCGCGACCGGAAGUGCUUGCGGCGGGAAGGCGGCCGGAGGGACCUGGGACUCACUGACGCAAGCAAGGAGGGGGGCAAUACUGGACUGGUAAACAGACAGUUCCGAAACCUGGAUGGAGUGGCCAGCUCAGAGUCCAGAUCUUAAUCCCACUGAGAACCUCUGGGACGAGUUCAAGCAAAGGCGUGCUCUAAACUGACUCGACCUUCAGUGUCGCAGAUGGUCAUUGUGCUUAAGGUGGAAUGGCAAAAGAUACCGCCUGCUGUUUUGAAUGAAAAAUAUAAUAUAAUAUAAAGCAAUUCAUACCUAAAUGGUAUAAUAGAAGGUCCACACUCUCAGCUGAGAAUUGCUUCAGAGAAGGAAAAUACGCCCUUCGACACGAUAAUUGGAAGCUCUACCUUUCCCGCACAUUCCAGGGACGUUUUACUAAGUAUAUUUCGAUAUUUAAAUCUCUUAAGCGCCUGUUAUUCUGGUGUCCCACACAUUUGUAUUCAAAAAUUGUGGUAUUUGAACUUUUUGGUGAGGUUCAGGUGUGGUGAACCGGCCUACGGGCUGCUUUUUUUCUGCGCCAUUUGCUAGGGAUUCACAACAACCUUUUUUUUAUACCGCCUGCUGUUGUCUAGGAACUUGUGGACAGUUUACCAAGAAGGGUGUCUGCAGUAAUCACUACACGUGGUAGACCUACAAAUUACUG